AUUAACAUGUAGCAACCUUACAGGAAAUUAGGCAACACCAGCUUCAGUGGGAAGUACUGACCACAUAAUUGUGUGUCGUGUAUGAAAACUGUCCAUGUGCUGGUGGCUUCUUCUGAACUCCAAGAACAGGCUCUGGCACUGCCCUUGUCCAGGGAUUGCCAGCUUGGGGUCUUCUCAGGGAUUGAUGGAGGCAUUCCCAAGGGAGCCAGACUUGUCAGGAGGAGUUCAAAGGGAGCAAAAAAGAUGAACUCCUCAAAGGAAGAAUUUUUCUUUGCAUUUCUUCUUAAGGUAACAUCUGGUUUCAGUGAACUGGAGGAAAACACAAGGAGACAGUGGCAGGGGAAGAGCAGCCUACCGUGGCUCUCCAUGAGACAAGCUCAGAGUGUGAGAUGCACAGUUUUUCCAGAGUUCCAACACCUGGAGCAGAAUUAUCACUGUCCAGAUGAUGACCAAAACAAGAAUAAUCCAGCACUGUAAAGGAAAUUUUCAAGAUGUGCCUGGGUGACUAUGCUGGCCAAUGGAACAUAACUUGAAACGGCAUGUGUGAUUUCUGGAAAACAUCUCUAAAGUGAGGGGCAUACGCUUCUUUACCCCUUCUCUGGCUGGAACGCAGCUGUGGGGGCUGGGUGAAUAGUGAUCUUUCCCAUGAGGUGGAAGUUACAGUUUGAGGAUUAGAGAAACAAAAGAUAAAGGUUCUGACCUACAGCGGAGUGCCAUAUCCGCCCUGGAUGUGCACCUCUGCAUUUUGUUUAGUCGAGAGAAAAAUAGACCUUUAUCUUGUUUCCUUAUCUUAUCAAGUAAAGGAAGGGCCUGCGCUGGCCCCAUAGGAAGCCAGAGUCCCUUGCUAUUGAACCACGUGACAACUUUAGCCAAGGGCUCUGCAGAGGGAGUCUGUGUGGAGAGAGGAGACAAAAUAGCUCGCGGUUAUUUUGCUUUCUGUAAUUUUGUGUACUGAACCUUGCACCUGCACCUGUUCCUAAGUGAGACAGGUAGUCAGGGCAAAAU